rfam:Glycine soja cultivar W05 scaffold3571_2, whole genome shotgun sequence.
UGCUAUGAUGAUGAGAUCAAAUAAUCUCGUUAAUCUGAUUCUUUCAUGAGGAUAACUUUUCUCAUCCAGUCAAUAUUCUUUCUGAGC